UCUUUGCAAUUCUAAUAGAUCCCUCUGACUGACCCUCUACUGUGGGCUCAAUAGCAGGGAGAUGAAGAUGAAGGUGAUUGAAAAA